AUACGGAGGAUGCAAGCGUUAUCCGGAUUUAUUGGGUUUAAAGGGUGCGUAGGCGGGACUGUAAGUCAGGGGUGAAAUACUGCAGCUUAACUGUAGCAUUGCCUUUGAAACUGGCGUUCUUGCGUACAGUUGAGGUAGGCGGAAUGUGGUGUGUAGCGGUGAAAUGCAUAGAUAUACCACAGAACGCCGAUUGCGAAGGCAGCUUACUAAGCUGUUACUGACGCUGAGGCACGAAAGCGUGGGGAUCAAACAGGAUUAGAUACCCUGGUAGUCCACGCUGUAAACGAUGAUUACUGGUUGUUAGCGAUAUAUAGCUAGUGACUGAGCGAAAGCAUUAAGUAAUCCACCUGGGGAGUACGUCGGCAACGAUGAAACUCAAAGGAAUUGACGGGG
rnacentral:rRNA from 1 species